rnacentral:rRNA from 1 species
AGCGAAUCCUUAAAAGCCGGUCUCAGUUCGGAUCGGGGUCUGCAACUCGACCCCGUGAAGUCGGAGUCGCUAGUAAUCGCAGAUCAGCAACGCUGCGGUGAAUACGUUCCCGGGCCUUGUACACACCGCCCGUCACGUCAUGAAAGUCGGUAACACCCGAAGCCAGUGGCCUAACCCUCGGGAGGGAGCUGUCGAAGGUGGGAUCGGCGAUUGGGACGAAGUCGUAACAAGGUAGC